AAACUGGGGAGUUGCUGCAGUAUCUUUAAUCUCAGAUACCUCCCUUAGCAGCACCCAGCAGAUGCAGCAAUCCCACAACGUGCCCUCUUUCCGCUCCGUCCUGGGCAAGCAACGCGAGGCACUCCCGAGAGAGCCGGCAGAGCAGGGGUGUUUUUUGGCAGCCGCUCAGCAAGAGCCGCAUCCUCCCUUGGGGAGAAGCAUGCAACCUCUGCCUGCGCUGGCGGGCGCCGAGCACUCGCACGGGUGGCAGCACGGAUCCCUCUGAGCAGGAACGCCGGGUGAGGAAGCCAGUCUCGCGCGCAGGGAAUGAAGCCCAAGGAGCCCAGCAGCAGCCACUGCGGAGCUUGCUCAGAAGUUCGCUCCCUCUGUCACAGCGUGUGCAGCUUGCCAGAUGUGGCUGCAGAUCAAGUGUUUACAUGGAUCAUCCCUGUGACUUUUCCAUUGCUCUGGGGUCCUGGCAGGAGCUGGCAUAUCUUAGACAUCCAUGAAAUGAAAGAGAAUUUGAUGUAGCUGAAUUUGAUGAAGAUGAUGGAGCUGUCCUUCCCUCUGCAAAACCCUGACUUUGAGCCAGCCACAAACUGCUGAGCAAGAGGAAUGCUUGAAAGGAGGCAACUUGUUGAUCUGGAAUGGCUUUGUCUGUAACACACACAUUUUCCUGCAAAAAAAGCUUCCUGCUGCUCUGGUGAAGUGCCAUCUUGGGGUCCUGCAUUUAAUCCACCUCAGUGUUUCCCAGAUCCCAUUCCCUAGCUGAGCCUGUGAGACUGCUGGGCCCAGGACACAGUAGUCAAACUACGGUCCCUCUUUCUCCCAUCACUACAGUCACAGCAGGAGUCUAUGGACCAAACUUGGCUCUUCGAUACAGUCACCCAAACUUGGUGACCUCCAGACAUACCCGUUGUCUCUGAAUGGAGGGGAUGAACUCUGCCCCUGGGAUUUUGGAGUAAGCAGUGGUGUUCCUGGACCUCCUAAGUCUCCUUGGCAUCAAGGCUGUUGGCCAUGUGAAGGGAAUAACUGGAUCAUGGGACAGGUCUCUCUGCCUCUGAAGGCAAGGGCCUGUCUCUUCCUUGCUGUGAGAUAUCAUCGCUCAGCCCCAGCAGAAGACAAUAGAAAAGAUGAAUGAGCCACAAGCUCAACUUCUGUGACUGGAGAGGUCUAUGCUCACAAAUAUUGUGAAGUGGCUUGGGAAUCUUAGUCCUGCUGCCUUAUGCUCCCCAUUUGCCUUCCAUUUGCACCGCUCCUACAUUUCCAGCAGAGCUUUUCUUCUACUGAGAUGCCCAAGUCCUCUUCAUCUGCACUUACAUGUGCAUGCAAAGAGCAAAGCCUAGCAGGCCGGGAAGAAAUGUCAGAGAGAUGCUCGGUGAGGUGAAUUUAGUCUUUGGGAAGCCAGUGCUUAAUCCUAAUCACCCCAGAAAUUUUCACGCUUUGCACUGCCAUAGCAACUGCUCCCAUGCUAACUAGCAAACCGUGGCCAGGCACCACGGUGCAUCGCAAAAAUUCUUUUCCUCCUAAAAGCCAGAGCCUGAUUUACUGCACAAGUGUGCAGAGCAAUCUGGCUGCACUGCCGUGCCUGGUGAAUGGACUUGGGCUGCGACACUAGGAAGCCAUUCUCCUUGGUGGUUGUUUCCAAGGGCAAAGCGAACGUGCGCAGGAGACGGAUACAUUCUGGCCUGUUGCAUAAAUUUGCCUUGACGUCUCAUACUGUUGUCCUCUGUCGAAGCUGGGAAGCUUGGCAAUAGCCGGAGUUUUGCCUCGGCAGAGACAUUGGGAUGGAAACAGACUACACAUGGCUCAGUUAGUCCAGCAGAUAACUUGUGGGGAAGAUUUCAGAGCUGUUUGAAAGUGCGGCCAGAUGAAGGUCUGCUCAGCUGCUGAGAUGCCAUCACCCUGGCAGCCCUCAUUUUAAUUAUUUUAAAGGACAAGAUUUAAAAAAAUCCUGUGGAUCAGGGCCUCAUAAAGCUUCCCUCUGUGAGUACA